UACGAAGGGGGCUAGCGUUGUUCGGAAUUACUGGGCGUAAAGCGCACGUAGGCGGAUACUUAAGUUAGGGGUGAAAUCCCGGGGCUCAACCCCGGAACUGCCUUUAAUACUGGGUAUCUCGAGUUCGAGAGAGGUGAGUGGAAUUCCGAGUGUAGAGGUGAAAUUCGUAGAUAUUCGGAGGAACACCAGUGGCGAAGGCGGCUCACUGGCUCGAUACUGACGCUGAGGUGCGAAAGCCAGGGGAGCAAACGGG
rnacentral:rRNA from 1 species